UGGGGAAUUUUGGACAAUGGGCGAAAGCCUGAUCCAGCAAUGCCGCGUGUGUGAAGAAGGCCUUCGGGUUGUAAAGCACUUUUGUCCGGAAAGAAAUCCUUGGCUCUAAUACAGUCGGGGGAUGACGGUACCGGAAGAAUAAGCACCGGCUAACUACGUGCCAGCAGCCGCGGUAAUACGUAGGGUGCAAGCGUUAAUCGGAAUUACUGGGCGUAAAGCGUGCGCAGGCGGUUUGCUAAGACCGAUGUGAAAUCCCCGGGCUCAACCUGGGAACUGCAUUGGUGACUGGCAGGCUAGAGUAUGGCAGAGGGGGGUAGAAUUCCGCGUGUAGCAGUGAAAUGCGUAGAGAUGUGGAGGAAUACCGAUGGCGAAGGCAGCCCCCCUGGGGCCAAAUACUGACGCUCAUGCACGAAAGCGUGGGGGAGCAAACAGGAUUAGAUACCCUGGUAGUCCACGCCCUAAACGAUGUCAACUAGUUGUUGGGGAUUCAUUUUCCUUAGUAACGUAGCUAACGCGUGAAGUUGACCGCCUGGGGAGUACGGUCGCAAGAUUAAAACUCAAAGGAAUUGACGGGGUCAUAGCUGUUUCCU
rnacentral:rRNA from 1 species